rnacentral:snRNA from 1 species
GGAUGUGAGGGGGAUCUGGCUGCGAUAUCUGUUACCCCAUUGGUUUCCAGGGUUCAUUCAGCAGAUCUGGCUGUCUAGAUGGUGUCCCCUUUUCCUUCACAGCAGCCUGUGUGUCCCUCCCAAAGCUGCCCACUCUGGCAAAGACAGGAGCCUUCCCUGAAUAGAGACAAACUAUUUUUCAGUCAAGGAGCAUAUGAAUAGCUGCUCUUCCCUGCUGGAACCUCCAAACGGGCUCUCAAAAAUGGAAUUUAUAACACUAAAUCUGGUGCUGGAGCCUGACCUAUGGGACCAAAGCCUUUUUUGUGGUGCAGUUCCAGGCUUUAAAUCACAUUCA